AUUUCGGGGUGCAGGAGACGGGGAACCCCCAACGUGCCGUCACACAGGGGUAACAUGGACUUAUGAGGAAAAUGGUAUUUUCUGUUGUCUUCUGUUCCUUUCUUAAUGAUUCCAAACAUUUGGUUUGCCUUUUUUAAGUGCCACUGCUUAGUCAGUGAAUAUUUUCAGAGAACCAUCCACAGUGAUCAUCCACAUUGCUCAAGACACCUCUCUUGACCAAUAACAGCUAAUGUAGACCCCAUCAUUUCAUAUCUAUUCCCUUGUAUUUAUCACCAUUGAAUUUCAUUUGCCAUUUCAUUGUCCAGUCACCCAGUUUCACGAGAUCCUGGUGUAGCUCUUCUCAGUCUGCUUGGGACAUGAAUAGUUUUGUCAUCUGCAAAUUUUGCCACCUUAUUGUUUACCCCCUUUUCCAUAUCAUUGUUGAAUAUGAUCGGUCCCAGUAAAGAUCCCUGAGGGACACUACUUGUUACUUCUCUCUCCAUUCUGAAUAUUGACCAUUUAUUCUUAACCUUUGAUUCCUGUCUUUUAACCAGUUACCAAUCAAUGAGAGGACCUUUCCUCUUCUCUGACAGCUUACUUUGCUUAAGAAUCUUUGAGACCUUUCUGAAAAUCUAAGUACACUAUAUUCACUGAAUUCCCCUUGUCCUCAUGCUUGUUGAUCACUCAAAACAAUUCUAGUAGAUUGGUGACACACAAUUUCCCUCUACAGAAACCAUGUUAACUCCUCUGCAAUGAAUUAUGUUCCUCUGUGUCUGUGUCUGACCAUUUUUUUUUUCCUUUUACUAUAGUUUCAACUGGAUUUCCUGAGACUGAAAUCAGGGUAACCAGCAUGUAAUUGCCAGGAUCACCUCUGAAGCCCUUUUUAAAUAUGGGGGGGGGGGAGGGCUGGCAGAACUAGGACUGGAAGUUGACUCAUUCCCAACCCACUCUGUUCAUUCAUGGUUUAAGACUUGUCACAGAAACCAGUGGCACUCAGCCUUUCCAGAAUAGUGUAUCCCUUUCAAGAGUCUGAUUUCUCUUGUGUACCCCCCAGGUUUCACCUCACUUAAAAACUACUUGCUUACAAAAUCAGACACAGACAUGCUAAAGUAUCACAGCACGCUAUUACUGAAAAACCGUUACUUUCUCAUUUUUACUAUACAGCUAAAAAUAAGUCAAUUAGUACAAUAUUUAUAUUCUUACAUUUCAGUGUAUAGUAUAUAGAGUCAUAUAAACAAGUCAUUUGUAUGAAAUCUUAGUUUGUACUGCCUUUACUUUAUAUCUAGACUUCAGUAAAAUUAGGCAAAUAUCUAGAUGUCUCCCUGGCCUGGAAGACAGCUAUGGACCCCAGGGGGAGGUGUACCCCAGUUGAGAACCUCUGAUGUAAGUCACUAUUUAAAAAUACUGCUGCAAACUUAAAUUAAAAUCUAAAAUUAGACUAUAAGCCUGGACACAAAGCACAAUACCUUAUUUAGUUUAAGGUUUCGUUCUUUUAACUUAGAUUGGAAACAAUUGAACAUGGCAACAUUUUCAGCCUCAGCAACUCCUACUCUCUUCUUGAGCAAGCUAUGCCCACCUUCAGGCCAUACUUUUUUAAUGAUGAUGAGGUCAUAAAUAUUAGAGAUGGGUCCAAAGUAAAAUCCUGCAUCCAAACAAUGUUUGAGGAAAUGUGGGUCUUGUACCAAACAUAAUGACUAGUACAUCUCUGGACAGAACUUAAAAUCCAUAUCCAGAUAUCCUUAAACUUUGAGAAAAUAUGGAUCUUUGCUGUUCUUCUGGUUUUUUCCAUAACUGAGAGAUGAACUGGUUGUAAGGUGUAGUACUCUCCAUUUGAGACUGUGCUGUGUUCUUUAGCUUGAUUGUCCUUUUUUCUUCUUGAUUACAUCUUUGGUGUAUGUCUGUGGCGCCAGAAGCCAUAUUAAAAUGGACUGUGAUCUUCGAAGCAACUUCUUAUUGGAGAAGUGCAUGCUUAUAAAAUGUGAGGGGAAGAGAGUAAAUGGAAAAAUUGUGCCCAGAGAGUAAGAGAUGGAGAUCAAGUAUUUCUGCACAUGUGGAUUAGUAGUUGGUCUUGUUUAUCAAAAUCUGGUCUAAAUAAAUAGUAACUCUUUUUAAAUAAGAGUUUCUAGAGCAGCAGCUCAGUAGUAACAGUGGCUUUACCACAUUGAUACCUGAAAUUUUGCAGCAUGGAGAAACAGUAUUGAAUGAUCUUGCCAACACACUGCUGCCAAGAGAGAGACAAUAUGGAAUGUUUUAUAAGACCUUUCAUAAAUGACAAAUCUAGCAAAGGAUACAUUCUUCCUCUCUGCUUUCACAUGAAUGUGCUCUUUAAUAGUUCAUUUACUUCAUUCUUCAACAAUUUUAUGCCUUAUGCCCACCAUAAGUCUUCCCAAAUACUUAGUUAAGUUCUCAGACUACAGUCCCAAGUUUAUCCUGGCUUUGAGGACCUAUAGGAGUCUUUCCUUGAUGUGGGAAACUAAACACACACACUGUUAAUGUUUUAACCAGUUGUAGAUUAUGUAUCGUUAUGCUGUCCAAAAUGAACAUUUGGUCUUUGCUACAUCUACUUUAUCAAUUUAACAAGAAAGGUCGUGUGGCAAGAGGGAGAGUGGAAGAACAGUGAAAAAGAGUGUCUGCUUUUCUCAGUUGCCGCACCCUUUGCUAUUCGGUGCUGUGAUUUAGUGACUGCCAGAUGAUGACAUUGGAAGAUUUUUCCAAGAACCCUUGAGCAGUGCUAGAUUGUUUACCCAGACUAAUGCUGACAAAAAUCAGUAGCAAGAAAUGAAGCUCAGUUCCCAGUCUUUACCAGCCAUUAUCUACAUGUUCUUUUGAUUAGACUGGUAAUGGCUCAUAAUGCCAUUGACCUACAUUCAGUUUAGUUUAGAGAACAGAUAUUGUAUAUAAGAGGCUGGCAUACCCACCAAAGUACUAAUGUAUUGUAAAGAGUAUUUCCAACUAGCUGAAUGCAUUUAAAAAUGCAAUAAAAAUUACUGACAAGUUGUGCUCACCUUAUUUGGCUUUAGCAAUCUCAUGACUAUUCAUUCUAAAUUCCAGUCUUUUGUCCAGACCUACUAGAAUUCUCACCCACGAGACAUCAAUGUUUGUUGAUACAGCAACUUGCUUUAAUUUAAAAAGAGCCAAAUCUUUUUCAUUUUAGCUCAUUAUCCUCCAUUUAUUUUCCUACUUCAAGAUGUAUUUUGUACGGUACUUUGGUAUUUGCAGAAAUUAUUUAGUUAAAUAUACUUUUUAUUGCAAGUCACUUUGCUGUGACAAACAGCACAGAGUUUGGUUUGUAUGCAGAAUCCAGUUUCUAUUAGCCUUUAGAUUGUAGCUUCAGCAGGGGCGAAAGGAUAGCAUAAUUACUUUAGAAAUUCAGUUGAUAAAAUCAGGGGCUUAGAGCUUGCUGUGGGUUACAGAAGAGCUUCUAUUCUAAACCCCUCUUCACUCACCUAACUUCCCAAUAUAUUCUCCUUUUUUAGUUCAAUUUUUCUAAGCCCAAAUAAAUCCCUUUAGUAGUUUUUGAGUUAAGGGAGAGAUGGAAAAAACUCUUUUCCAUUUAAAAAAACAUCCAACCAUGCUUUUAUUUUUGUUGCAUAGAGUUAUAGUGAAAACAGAUGACAUUUGAAACUUGGCACUGGAAAAAUCUUCUCUCCAUUCUCCACAGGCAGACAGACACUCCCUCUGCACACCUCUUUCCAACCGUGGCUUACUAAGGAAUUUCCUCCCCUCUGAUCCUCCAGGUACUGUCAUAUUGCAACCUGGGUCCUUGACAGCUCUUUAAAUAGCUCCCUCCUGGCUUUUGCUUUUUGCCGGAGCUGCGCACUGGGGCAGGCCCUUGGAUCCUAAAGCAGCCAAAAGCCAGCCUAAAGACCAGGAAGGACAGAGCAGCUGACGAGGGACAUCCUAAGACAGGAACCAACAGGAGCACUGUGCCAGGAAUGUAUCCCCUGGGAAGGACAAACUGGAGCCGGACUCAAAUCAGUCAUCCAGAAUGGAGAUUCACAGCAGAGUUCCUUUUCUCACUAGCAUUGCAGCUGUCACAAGCCCAGCAGAAUCACAAGACAGUCAGCAAUUUUACAGAUUAUGAAAUAAGUGAAUAUUGUCAUCUAUGGUUGAUUUUUUUGUUUCCAUAUUACAUGGCCCAGCAGCAUUACAUAAUAAACCUCACUUUUCCCAGAGCAGGAUUUCUUAACAGAUUUGCAAACUUGUAUUUCUUCCCUUUUCACAUAGGCAACAUUAUUUAAAAUAUAAAACAGCUGAAAGAAACAGGUUGAAGCCAGACGACAAAUGUGUAAAUAUAACUUGGUAUUACCCAGCAUAGUGAUGUGGGUCAGUCAUGAGUUGCAUUAUGAACAUUCACCACUAUGAGUGAGAGAAGCUGUGAAUUUAAGAAGCAGAUUUGACAACUAGUGUAGUCAGGUGUUGAACUAACCAUUUUCACUACUGCAAGCAGGAGAAGCUGUGAAUAUGAGCUUCUUCUGUCAUAGUCUGCCUUUGGAAACACUUGUAUAACUUUGAUUGCUGCACAUACUCUAAUGGUAGGGUGGCCUGCCAGUUUAAGGGCCAGAAGCCCGAGGCUAGCCAGCCCUGUCUGAUCACAUCCUUGUCUGCUAAUUAACUAUAUGAUAAUCAGCAAAGACAGCAUUGACUGGGUGCAGGUAACAGCCUGAGAUAUGUGGACUUCAUAAAGAUCAGAGAACUCGGUUUGGAGAAAGGGAACCACAGGGAAUAAGUUUGGUUCUGGAGGCAGUCUCUGAAGUAAGGUCUAGCACAGAGGUAGGCAAUCAUUUUUGAUGGGGGAUGGGCUACUCCAAGAAUUUGGUAAGUGGUUGAGGGCCGCAUUCUUCCACCAUAUUAAUGGAGGAGGUGCGGGGUUUGGGAUGAAGGUUGAGUGCAGAAGGGUGCCUGUAGUAAGAAUUGGUGUGCAGGAGGGGGUGUAGAAUCUGGGAGCGUGUGGGUGUGAAGGAGGGGGUUGUGAUCUGGGGCGAGGGUUUGGGUUGUGACCUCAGGCAAGGGAUUGGGGUGCAGGGCCUGAGAGGAGAGAUGGGUGCAAGAGGGCGGGGCAGAGUGUUUGGAUAUUGUGGGGUUGGGGGGGCAGAAGUUAAGGGGGAGGGAAUGUUGGAGUGCCAGAAGCAGGCUCUGGCCGGGAGAUGCUUAUCUGGGUGACUCCUCAUCAUCAGCCCACCAGGUUCCUUGUCUUCCAUUCCCUGGCAGGUCACUCAGAGCAGCUGGCUGUGGGGCCAUGUGUGUCUGUGAACAGACUCACAUGUGAACAGACUUCUCAGCUGCGAGACUGAGAAGAGGAGGGAGGGAUACUUAGAAUGCUGCCUGUUCUUCAAACAGCAGCUCCCAUUGGCCAAAAGAAGCUGCAAAUUGUGCUAGGAGUGGAGACAAAAUCUCCCAGAUUGUGCUGGGGGAGAGGAGCAGCCACCCCAGGCUCACAGCUGUUCACAGACAAAAAGAGCCCUGCAGCUGACUUUUCUGGGAGGUGUGUGGGGGUGGGGCAGGCAGGCAGGCAGGGAGCCUGACUGAGGCUCCCACUGUGCCCCAUGUGCUGGAUCCAACAACUUAGUGGGCCAAUUCAGCCUGUGGGCCGGAUUUUGCCUGGCCCUGAUCUAGUAGAAGUUGAUGACUCCAGUGAUGCAGCCUGGGAGUAAGACCCUGAGAAAGCAAGGGAGGACCUUGAUAGUAGCAGAGGGAGGUGUGUAACUGACUUCUUUGAGUCAGAGAGUUGGACAAGGAAGGCAGAGAUCUGUGGAAGGAUUCUAGCUAAAAAAGAGCUGGGAGUCCUUUAUGUUGGGACUUAAGGUUGAGGAUUGUUUUGUUAACAAAGACAGAUUCCAUGUAGGGGAGAGGAAUGAGUGGACAGAGAGAGACUGUUGAUUACUUUUGGGAACUUAGUGAGAGGAAAUUGAGUUGGAAAGUGCUGGGCCAGCAGGAUGUGCUAUGGAUGAGUCACCCCCUUAUGACACAGAGGCCUCAGACUGAUUCUUCUCACACACACAUGCAGUCAUCUUCUCAAAGAAUAGAAUCUGACCCUUUGCCUUUAGUGGCUUAGGUGUUAUGAUGAUCUAAAAGAAAAAAGCCUGACAGAUACCUAAUGGGCAUGUACGCCCAUUUCACUAUUCAGUUCCUCUACCUAGCACUCCAAAGAUCAUUUAUCCAGGCCGAGAUAGUACAGGCUAGAAGGAUGACUGCUUGCCUUUUCAGUCAGAGGGCCCAAUGUGGGUGGGCUCCCAUCUGCCUUCUUUGUUUCUUAUAAGGUAGUUUGACCUGUAUAUAGUGUGUUGGUGGCUAACUCUUGGACACGAGUGCUAGGCUGUAUGUUAUGCAGGCUGAACCUCUCUAGUCCAGCAGUCUGGUCCAGCAACAUUGGGGUCCGGCAUGAUUUAGUUAGCUGGAUGUCUGCUCAUCAUGGGCGUGGCCAAAUUUCCCAUGGCCCCAUAAAAGUUGGUUUACAGCCACCAGUCCUGGCUUUCAGUGUUCUGUGCUGUUACCUAGCUCUAAUUUAUCUCUAAAUGUCUUCUAAGAGCCCAGUAAGCAGUGGCAAUGUUAGUAAUGCUGCUAGAGAAUAUUGACCUCUUGUGGUUUGGUAAAUGCUCUGGUUUGACACCAGUCAGGUCCUGAGGGUGUCAGAGUAGAGAAGUUCAACCUGCAUUUACAUUGAUGAGCUGACGCUUAGUAUAAGAAUCCCCUUUGCUUUCUUCUCUGCCCUCCAACUAUAAAGAAAAGUAGGAAACAGAGGCAUUAGACUUAAAUGCACAAUUGACAUAUAGCUUCUGCAAAGAGCUGGUAACUAUCAUUCAUGCUGCUUCUAAUGCCAGCUUGCUGAACAUAGUGAUCCAUGUGCAACAUUGAGCAGUAGUCUAGUCUUUAUCCUGCUUUUGAAGUGGUUUACCAUGAGUGGAAGGACAUUCACAUGUAAAGAUACAACACUGUGAUACACAAAA